GACGAACCGUGCGAACGUUGUUCGGAAUCACUGGGCUUAAAGGGCGCGUAGGCGGCCCGCCGCGUCCGGGGUGAAAGCCCACGGCUCAACCGUGGAACGGCCCCGGGUACGGGCGGGCUGGAGGGGAGUAGGGGCGUGCGGAACUGUGCGUGGAGCGGUGAAAUGCGUUGAUAUGCACAGGAACUCCGGUGGCGAAGGCGGCACGCUGGGCUCUUUCUGACGCUGAGGCGCGAAAGCCAGGGGAGCGAACGGG
rnacentral:rRNA from 1 species